AAUUUCCUGAUAUACAUGGAAAUGCUGAUAUUGCUUUCACUAUAUUGUCUCUUUGUAAUGUGUAACAUCAUUUUUACUUAGGUUUGCCAAAUGACCGGCUUUUACAGAGUAGAAUAUAGUCCCAAACAUAUACAGUUCAGUUCUUUUACUGCUUUCUUCUUCAUAAAAGCCGGACGUCUUGCAACCCUUAAAUUUCCCCUUCUUUUUGUUUGCAUAAAUUACAUAAUUCUCUUAAUUAUAAAUACUCCAAAUCCGAUUUUCGAACAGCUUAUUUUAAAAUCUAAAGAAAUAUAAGCGAUUAAAGAUUACAUUUUGCAAGCCAACUAGAUGCUUAAACAACUCAAAAGACAGCCACGCGCUCAUUAUAACUCUCUUAUAGUUUUAGAAUCUGAGUGAGUUACUGUUUUGAAUAUCUAAAAUCUUCAAAUUAAGUUUUUAUGAUUUUAAGUUAAAUUAGACUUAAGAAUAUGUGUAAGAAUUGAGAAUAAAUAUUUACUUUUUAUUUUAGAAAUGAACACACAAGAAAAUUUAAACGACGAUGAUGGUGACUUUUUUAGAAAAAAAUUAGAAGAUUUACAAAAGUCCAUAGAUAUCAUUUUAAACUACAUUUGUAAGUAACUAUAUUAUGUUUUAUGUCUCAUAAAAGUUUUAAUAAAUAAUAUAAUGUAAUCACUUAUAUAGUGACAAAUCCAACUUCCUCAGUAACGUAUGUUGUUGUACUCACUUAGACUUGACUUAUUACAUUGAUUGAUUGUUUUUAAUGCAUUUUUAAUUUUCUUUUAUUUAUGUCUAGCUGUUGCUUCUUCUGCUACAAGUAAGUUGUUCUAUUCACUUAUACUUACCUUAAUUUAUUGAUUAAUUGGUUUUAUUGCAUUUUUAAUUUUC